rnacentral:rRNA from 1 species
AAUAGAUACCCGGGUAGUCCACGCCGUAAACGAUGGAUGCUAGCUAUUGGGGGGAAUCGACCCCCUCCGAAGCGAAGCUAACGCGUUAAGCAUCCCGCCUGAGUAGUACGAGCGCAAGCUUAAAACUCAAAGGAAUUGACGGGGACCCGCACAAGCGGUGGAGCGUGUGGUUUAAUUCGAUGGUAAACGAAGAACCUUACCAAGGUUUGACAUCCCGGUAGCCGUUCUCCGAAAGGAGAAUUUCAUUUAGUUGGACCGGUGACAGGUGAUGCAUGGCCGUCGUCAGCUCGUGUCGUGAGAUGUUGGGUUAAGUCCCGCAACGAGCGCAACCCUUAUGAUUUAGUUGGAUUUUUCUAAACAGACUGCCCUGGUAACAGGGAGGAAGGAGGGGAUGAUGGUCAGGUCAGUAUUUCCCUUACACCUUGGGGCGACACACGCGCUACAAUGGCCGGUACAAUGGGCAGCUAAGCCGCGAGGUGGAGCAAAUCCCAUCAAAGCCGGUCCCAGUUCGGAUUGCAGGCUGAAACCCGCUGCAUGAAGUCGGAAUCGCUAGUAACC